CUUGAGUCCAUGCUAUUUUAUGAUGUGAAAAUGCCAUCUACAGUUCUGUAGCCUAAUCUGAAUUAUAGAGAUGCAGCACUAUCACAACAAAUGCAAAAUAAAAAAAAUAUUCUGAAUUCACAGUCAACUCCAUUCACCCACAAUUGGGAAUCAAUGAUUGGCUUCCAACUCUUGGAUCUGCCUGUAAUGUAGAACCUAAAAUGGAUGGUACAUUGGAUAGAUGAAAACCUUUCACAGAUGGACUACCCUUCUAGUUGGGGGGUAUUGACUACACCCUUUAUGUCUUUGAGCUAGUAUUUUAGUGGGAAAUGCCGUGCAGGAAUGGUGAUUACAGUGUGCUAGAAAAUUGAGUAACGUAAUUGAAAGCCUAUAGAAAGAUUAUAGAACCCCAGUUUCUCCAUCUGUGAGGACUCAACAUAACACCCAAACGAUUUAUGAAUCACUUCCAUUAUGGUAGCAAUCACGAAGUUUUUUAAAAUUAAAUUUAAUCAUGGUUCAAGAAAGUAACAAGUAAUUCAAGUAUG
rnacentral:lncRNA from 1 species